CGUUGAAACAUCUGUUCCUGUACGACCACCGAAGUUAAGCAACGUCGAGCCAGGUUAGUACCUAGAUGGGUGCUCGCUUGGAAAUACCAUGUGCUGUAGG